AUUGAACGCUGGCGGCAGGCUUAAUACAUGCAAGUCGAGCGCAGGAAGCCGUCUGAACCCUUCGGGGGGACGACGGUGGAAUGAGCGGCGGACGGGUGAGUAACACGUAAAGAACCUGCCCAUAGGUCUGGGAUAACCACGAGAAAUCGGGGCUAAUACCGGAUGUGUCAUCGGACCGCAUGGUCCGCUGAUGAAAGGCGCUCCGGCGUCGCCCAUGGAUGGCUUUGCGGUGCAUUAGCUAGUUGGUGGGGUAACGGCCCACCAAGGCGACGCUGCAUAGCCGACCGGAGAGGGUGAGCGGCCACACUGGGACUGAGACACGGCCCAGACUCCUACGGGAGGCAGCAGUAGGGAAUCUUCCACAAUGGACGAAAGUCUGAUGGAGCAACGCCGCGUGAACGAUGAAGGCUUUCGGGUCGUAAAGUUCUGUUGUAAGGGAAGAACAAGUGCCGCAGGCAAUGGCGGCACCUUGACGGUACCUUGCGAGAAAGCCACGGCUAACUACGUGCCAGCCGCCGCCGUAAGAC
rnacentral:rRNA from 1 species